GCCUUAUUCUGUAAGAUUGGGCUUAGACUCACCAGUCACACUGUCUGUCUGCUGUAGUCUACUGUAUUCUGUGCACUGUUUAAACUUUCUGGCAGCUGCUUACAUCUUUUGGAUCUAGAAGUAAAAAACAAGAUGAUAUUCACUGAAUUGAACUAUUUACAUAUAUGAAACUACCUCUUAAAGAUUAGUUUUCCUUUUUAUAUGCAAGUUUUGUGAACUUACAGUAUUACAUUCUUUUUCAUUCAUGUAUUUAAUAUGUAUGCUUUCUUCAGGGACUUAGUCAUGCAUUGAGAAAGCAAGCAUGGAAAUUUCUUCUGGGUUAUUUUCCCUGGGACAGUACCAAGGAGGAAAGAACCCAAUUACAAAAGCAAAAAACUGAUGAAUACUUCAGAAUGAAACUGCAGUGGAAAUCCAUCAGCCAGGAACAAGAGAAAAGAAAUUCGAGGUUAAGAGAUUAUAGAAGUCUUAUCGAAAAAGAUGUUAACAGAACAGAUCGAACAAACAAGUUUUAUGAAGGCCAAGAUAAUCCAGGGUUGAUUUUGCUUCAUGACAUUUUGAUGACCUACUGUAUGUAUGAUUUUGAUUUAGGAUAUGUUCAGGGAAUGAGUGAUUUACUUUCCCCUCUUUUAUAUGUGAUGGAAAAUGAAGUGGAUGCCUUUUGGUGCUUUGCCUCUUACAUGGACCAAAUGCAUCAGAAUUUUGAAGAACAAAUGCAAGGCAUGAAGACCCAGCUAAUUCAGCUGAGUACCUUACUUCGAUUGUUAGAC
rnacentral:sRNA from 1 species